rnacentral:snoRNA from 1 species
GGGAAUUCCACUUGGCGGGCUACAAUUUUUGCUU